AAAGGAAUAGACGGGGACCCGCACAAGCAGUGGAGUAUGUGGUUUAAUUCGAUGCAACGCGAAGAACCUUACCAAGGCUUGACAUCCUACUAACGAAGUAGAAAUACAUUAGGUGCCCUUUUAGGGAAAGUAGAGACAGGUGGUGCAUGGUUGUCGUCAGCUCGUGUCGUGAGAUGUUGGGUUAAGUCCCGCAACGAGCGCAACCCUUGUGGUUAGUUGCUACGGUAAGAGCACUCUAGCCAGACUGCCGUUGACAAAACGGAGGAAGGUGGGGAUGACGUCAAAUCAUCAUGCCCUUUAUGUCUUGGGCUACACACGUACUACAAUGGCGAUUAACAGAGGGAGGCAAGCCUGCGAAGGUAAGCGAAUCCCGAAAAGUCGCCCCAGUUCAGAUUGCAGGCUGCAAUUCGCCUGCAUGAAGCCGGAAUUGCUAGUAAUCGCAGAUCAGCAUGCUGCGGUGAAUACGUUCCCGGGUCUUGUACACACCGCCCGU
rnacentral:rRNA from 1 species